GGGGGGGACGCCUGGCGCGGCGGCUCGUCGUCUAUAGUGACCUUCUUCGAUUACGUCAUCGGCAUCUUAGGAUCUGCACCAGGCUUCUUGGGUUUAACCAGCAGCAUCUCAGGUUGAGUUUGUCCCUCCUCUAUUCUUUCGAAUUGCUAAAAGGUUUAGAAGUGAAAUUUCUGCUAUAGAUUAGCAGCAGCAUCCAUGCAUAUAUCGUCAAUAAACCAACCGGAAAUUGAUAUAAGUAGCCAAGUUGGUCAGUGUACAUUGCUUAACUUGAUUGGAGGUACCUUUCUUAUGCAUUGAUGCUCCUGAUAGUUUUAAAGACAAAAGAGAAAAUAUAUUCUAAGUGUGGAGCAAGGUAUAUUAGGUGUAAUGCGAGCAAGUUAGUGAGUUUUUCAAUGUGGAAAAAUAAUCUACAUGCUGAAGUAAGAACUCAGACAUCUACAUGCUAAAGUAAGAACUCGGAAAUCGGCAUUAGGGACUGCUCUCCUGUGCACUAAAUAUGCUUGCAUGAAUGCACUUUUUGGGGUGCACCAGCUGAAUCAGAGCGAAAAAUUGCCUUUUCCUAGGCUUAGACAUAGGGAAUGGGAGAUAAAUAUUUUCCUAAAGAUAUAUC